UACGUAGGAGACGAGCGUUGUCCGGAGUUACUGGGCGUAAAGCGUGCGCAGGCGGUCUGUUAAGACCGAUGUGAAAUCCCCGGGCUUAACCUGGGAACUGCAUUGGUGACUGGCAGGCUUUGAGUGUGGCAGAGGGAGGUAGAAUUCCACGUGUAGCAGUGAAAUGCGUAGAGAUGUGGAGGAAUACCGAUGGCGAAGGCAGCCUCCUGGGCCAACACUGACGCUCAUGCACGAAAGCGUGGGGAGCAAACAGG
rnacentral:rRNA from 1 species